CGGGAAUGCGGCGGCUUACACAUGCAAGUCGAGGGGUAUGGUUCUUCGGAACCAGAGACCGGCGCACGGGUGCGUAACGCGUAUGCAUUCUACCUUUCACAGAGGGAUAGCCCAGAGAAAUUUGGAUUAAUACCUCAUAGUAUUAUUGAGUGGCAUCUCUUAGUACUUAAAGAUUUAUCGGUGAAAGAUGAGCAUGCGUCCCAUUAGUUAGUUGGUAAGGUAACGGCUUACCAAGACUACGAUGGGUAGGGGUCCUGAGAGGGAGAUCCCCCACACUGGUACUGAGACACGGACCAGACUCCUACGGGAGGCAGCAGUGAGGAAUAUUGGACAAUGGGCGCAAGCCUGAUCCAGCCAUGCCGCGUGCAGGAUGACGGUCCUAUGGAUUGUAAACUGCUUUUAUACGAGAAGAAACACUGGUUCGUGAACCAGCUUGACGGUAUCGUAAGAAUAAGGAUCGGCUAACUCCGUGCCAGCAGCCGCGGUAAUACGGAGGAUCCAAGCGUUAUCCGGAAUCAUUGGGUUUAAAGGGUCCGUAGGCGGUCAGAUAAGUCAGUGGUGAAAGCCCAUCGCUCAACGGUGGAACGGCCAUUGAUACUGUCUGACUUGAAUUAUUAGGAAGUAACUAGAAUAUGUAGUGUAGCGGUGAAAUGCUUAGAGAUUACAUGGGAAUACCAAUUGCGAAGGCAGGUUACUACUAAUAUAUUGACGCUGAUGGACGAAAGCGUGGGUAGCGAACAAGAUUAGAUACCCUGGUGGUCCACGCCGGACACGAUGGAUACUAGCUGUUGGAAGCAAUUUCAGUGGCUGAGCGAAAGUGAUAAGUAUCCCACCUGGGGGAGUACGAGACGCAAGUUUGAAACUCAGAGGAAUUGACGGGGGGCGCCGGCACAAGCGGUGGGAGCAGGGUGGUUUUAUUUCUAUGAUACUCGAAGGAAGCGUGACCCACGCCUUAGAUGUAGAUUGACCGGUUUGGGGAACAGGACUUUUCACCAUACAAUAUACAAGGUGCUGCAGGGGGUGUCGGUCAGCAUCGUGCGCUUGAGGUGUCGAGGAUUAAGUCCUAUAACAACACAAACCCCCUGCUCGCUAGUGGCAGCGAGUCGAUGGUCGGAGCUCUGACCAGACUGCAAAUCUAACCGUUAGGGAGGUAGAUGACGUCGAGUCAAUCCGGUCCCUACUCGUGGGGGUGAGCUAGUGCUGCAUGACCGUUACGUAGAUGCAGUGGCGACCUGGACUGAAGCAAGUCAAGAACGGGGGUCCGAGAUCGA
rnacentral:rRNA from 1 species